UUUUUUCCUCUACUCACAAGAAACAAAAACAACUAGUAGAAGAAAAAAAGAGAAUCAUGGCGGCGGCAGCGGCGGCAGACUGGUCCAAACUCCCAAAAGAUGUUCUGAAUCUGAUAUCGGAACGACUCCCCCACGAUAUCGAUCAGUUUGUUCCCAUUGGCGCAAUUCCUCGAUAAAUCGCCAUAACACUUUACACUACUUCAAACUCCCAAUCUCCAAAUACGAUAUCGAUCUCUGGAAGUGUAUGUAUCACUUUACGCAUCAACAACACCGUUUUGGCCACCUCCAGAGUGGAUCGUCAAGAGCCACAUGGGUAAACCUAAAAAAAGGGUGAAGCGAAGAAAGAGGACGUGAGUCGUGAGGUCCAACAUUGGGUUCAUGCGCAAAACGCGGCAACUAGCUAUAUGUUUACCAGCAAACUCCUAAUUCGUAAUUACAUAUUCAGAUGCUGGAAAAUGAGGUGGAAUUUGGAUUGCCGGAUAAGCGUUCUAAUGGUUUCUUCAACUAUCCUAUGUAAGAAAGUUGUGGUUAUUCAGGGUUUGUUAUGUUAUUUUGAUGUGAUGUUGACCACUUGCAUUAUUAUGGUCAUGUAAAAUCGAAACUUGAUUGGUCAGUUACAUAUAUAUCUAAGCUUAGCUUACUUAAGGUUGGUCUUGGUUAUGUUAUUUUGUCGUUGAACGCCUGCAUUGUUAUGGUGCUGUAUAAUGUUUAAACUCAAUUCAUCAGUUAUAGUUAUGUCUCAAUUGAGUUUACUUAAUGUUGA